rnacentral:rRNA from 1 species
AGAGUUAAACAGUGCGUGAAAUUGUUGAAAGGGAAACGUUUGACACCAGUCAUGUGGGUGGAAAAUCAGUCUUUUGCAUUGGGGAGUUGUAAGGGUUCGGACCGCAAGGCCGGCUUUUGCUUCAUCUUUGGUGUAAGUGAUGCACUUUUUCAUCUACAGGUCAACAUCAGUUUCUUUUGCUGGACAAAACUCCGAGAGAAGGUAGCUGCUUGCAGUGUUAUAGCUCUGGUUCAUGAGACGUCCGAGACCGAGGACUGCGGUACAUGCCUUUGGCUGGAUGCCCAGUAGCUGUUUGCUAGCGCUUGGUGGACUGCUUGCAGACCACUAGUCGUUUAGUAGACACCCUAUUGGAACAUCACAAAUGUGCCUAGGAUGUUGACGAAAUGGUUUUAAAUGACC